GGAAUAGGGAGCCAAAGUUCCUCGAGAAUGAAGACAAACUGGCAAGCCAGUUGCUUCGUUCUGCACUUAAUAAAGUGAUCAUACUCCGAGACCAAUAUGAUUGGUUCAUAGCGAAAAACGCUUCGGAGAUGUACUUUCCUUUGAGUUAUUACGAUAACCCAGAAGAGAAAGUACCUCUAAACGAUCUACCAGGGCCAUACUUAGCCUUGGUGACCGAGAUCGAGCAAUUCUUUGAAAUGCUGAUCGGUUUAGAGAUGAAAUGGACUGACCGUCCAGAGGCUAUAUACCAAGACCUUUAUAUGGAAAUGGAUGCCACACUUUAUUACGAAGAGGCCCUUGAACUUCACGAAAGAGUUGAUAAACUCGAGUUUAAACUUAAACCUUAUGAAGGUCGAGUUAAACCCGGGAAAACAAUCCACGAGACUGCACCCAUACUUACUGCUUUACGCGGUAUUCUGGGAACUAGUCUACGAAGAUGGAACAACUCUCCUAAUCCAGUAACUAUUAGUACGUUACUGAGUUAGGUCGUGGUAGGAAUCUCCCGCCCUGAAAAUCAGAUGAAAGGCUCCUCAAUAGAGAGACCGACCCUUUGGGGACGACUCUACGAUGAGUAUUCUAUCUCUCAACUUCUCGACACUUCGAGAAACUUCUGUUAAGUUUAUUAACAAUAAAAACCAUACCUUUAGGUCCGGGUGAAAUACCGGGUAACCAUGGAGGGUAGUUCUUAUCAGAAGACUCCAAGAAACGGAAGAAGAAGAAAGAUGUGUCCAACUCGCAUAAAAUCUAUGCGCAUCGGCCUAACCAAGGGCACUGGGUGUUAUACCAGGUAACUUGGAAGGGGACCGACGGUGUGGAAACCUUUCUAUCCGAUUCAAUCGGUGGAACUUCUUAUCUUUCCAAACCAGAGNGGUNCACUGAAGAACCCUUUUCGGCUUAGUACUAACGAGGCAUUUCUUUACAGAAACGCGCAGUUAGGACUAAGGUCCGAUCUUAAC
rnacentral:misc_RNA from 1 species